UACAGAGGGUGCAAGCGUUGUUCGGAAUUAUUGGGCGUAAAGCGCGUGUAGGCGGCUUUGCAAGUCGGGUGUGAAAGCCCUCAGCUCAACUGAGGAAGUGCGCCCGAAACUGCAGAGCUUGAGUGCCGGAGAGGAUGGCGGAAUUCCCCAAGUAGAGGUGAAAUUCGUAGAUAUGGGGAGGAACACCGGUGGCGAAGGCGGCAUCCUGGACCGGUAUUGACGCUGAGGCGCGAAAGCCAGGGGAGCAAACGGG
rnacentral:rRNA from 1 species